GGUUAAGUUAGAAAGGGCGCACGGUGGAUGCCUUGACACUAGGAGUCGAUGAAGGACGGGACUAACGCCGAUAUGCUUCGGGGAGCUGUAAGUAAGCUUUGAUCCGAAGAUUUCCGAAUGGGGAAACCCACUAUACGUAAUGGUAUGGUAUCCUUACCUGAAUACAUAGGGUAUGGAAGACAGACCCAGGGAACUGAAACAUCUAAGUACCUGGAGGAAGAGAAAGCAAAUGCGAUUUCCUGAGUAGCGGCGAGCGAAACGGAAUCUAGCCCAAACCAAGAGGCUUGCCUCUUGGGGUUGUAGGACAUUCUAUACGGAGUUACAAAGGAACGAGGUAGACGAAGCGACCUGGAAAGGUCCGUCGUAGAGGGUAACAACCCCGUAGUCGAAACUUCGUUCUCUCUUGAAUGUAUCCUGAGUACGGCGGAACACGUGAAAUUCCGUCGGAAUCUGGGAGGACCAUCUCCCAAGGCUAAAUACUCCCUAGUGAUCGAUAGUGAACCAGUACCGUGAGGGAAAGGUGAAAAGCACCCCGGAAGGGGAGUGAAAGAGAUCCUGAAACCGUGUGCCUACAAAUAGUCAGAGCCCGUUAAUGGGUGAUGGCGUGCCUUUUGUAGAAUGAACCGGCGAGUUACGAUCCCGUGCAAGGUUAAGUUGAAGAGACGGAGCCGCAGCGAAAGCGAGUCUGAAUAGGGCGUUUAGUACGUGGUCGUAGACCCGAAACCAGGUGAUCUACCCAUGUCCAGGGUGAAGUUCAGGUAACACUGAAUGGAGGCCCGAACCCACGCACGUUGAAAAGUGCGGGGAUGAGGUGUGGGUAGCGGAGAAAUUCCAAUCGAACCUGGAGAUAGCUGGUUCUCCCCGAAAUAGCUUUAGGGCUAGCCUUAAGUGUAAGAGUCUUGGAGGUAGAGCACUGAUUGAACUAGGGGUCCUCAUCGGAUUACCGAAUUCAGUCAAACUCCGAAUGCCAAUGACUUAUCCUUAGGAGUCAGACUGCGAGUGAUAAGAUCCGUAGUCAAGAGGGAAACAGCCCAGAUCGCCAGCUAAGGUCCCAAAGUGUGUAUUAAGUGGAAAAGGAUGUGGAGUUGCUUAGACAACUAGGAUGUUGGCUUAGAAGCAGCCACCAUUUAAAGAGUGCGUAAUAGCUCACUAGUCGAGUGACUCUGCGCCGAAAAUGUACCGGGGCUAAAUACACCACCGAAGCUGCGAAUUGAUACCAAUGGUAUCAGUGGUAGGGGAGCGUUCUAAGGACAGUGAAGUCAGACCGUAAGGACUGGUGGAGUGCUUAGAAGUGAGAAUGCCGGUAUGAGUAGCGAAAGACGGGUGAGAAUCCCGUCCACCGAAUGCCUAAGGUUUCCUGAGGAAGGCUCGUCCGCUCAGGGUUAGUCAGGACCUAAGCCGAGGCCGACAGGCGUAGGCGAUGGACAACAGGUUGAUAUUCCUGUACCACCUCUUUAUCGUUUGAGCAAUGGAGGGACGCAGAAGGAUAGAAGAAGCGUGCGAUUGGUUGUGCACGUCCAAGCAGUUAGGCUGAUAAGUAGGCAAAUCCGCUUAUCGUGAAGGCUGAGCUGUGAUGGGGAAGCUCCUUAUGGAGCGAAGUCUUUGAUUCCCCGCUGCCAAGAAAAGCUUCUAGCGAGAUAAAAGGUGCCUGUACCGCAAACCGACACAGGUAGGCGAGGAGAGAAUCCUAAGGUGUGCGAGAGAACUCUGGUUAAGGAACUCGGCAAAAUGACCCCGUAACUUCGGGAGAAGGGGUGCUUUCUUAACGGAAAGCCGCAGUGAAUAGGCCCAAGCGACUGUUUAGCAAAAACACAGGUCUCUGCGAAGCCGUAAGGCGAAGUAUAGGGGCUGACACCUGCCCGGUGCUGGAAGGUUAAGGAGAGGGGUUAGCGUAAGCGAAGCUCUGAACUGAAGCCCCAGUAAACGGCGGCCGUAACUAUAACGGUCCUAAGGUAGCGAAAUUCCUUGUCGGGUAAGUUCCGACCCGCACGAAAGGUGUAACGAUUUGGGCACUGUCUCAACCAGAGACUCGGUGAAAUUAUAGUACCUGUGAAGAUGCAGGUUACCCGCGACAGGACGGAAAGACCCCGUGGAGCUUUACUGUAGCCUGAUAUUGAAUUUUGGUACAGUUUGUACAGGAUAGGCGGGAGCCAUUGAAACCGGAGCGCUAGCUUCGGUGGAGGCGCUGGUGGGAUACCGCCCUGACUGUAUUGAAAUUCUAACCUACGGGUCUUAUCGACCCGGGAGACAGUGUCAGGUGGGCAGUUUGACUGGGGCGGUCGCCUCCUAAAGUGUAACGGAGGCGCCCAAAGGUUCCCUCAGAAUGGUUGGAAAUCAUUCGUAGAGUGCAAAGGCAUAAGGGAGCUUGACUGCGAGACCUACAAGUCGAGCAGGGACGAAAGUCGGGCUUAGUGAUCCGGUGGUUCCGCAUGGAAGGGCCAUCGCUCAACGGAUAAAAGCUACCCCGGGGAUAACAGGCUUAUCUCCCCCAAGAGUCCACAUCGACGGGGAGGUUUGGCACCUCGAUGUCGGCUCAUCGCAUCCUGGGGCUGUAGUCGGUCCCAAGGGUUGGGCUGUUCGCCCAUUAAAGCGGUACGCGAGCUGGGUUCAGAACGUCGUGAGACAGUUCGGUCCCUAUCCGUCGUGGGCGUAGGAAAUUUGAGAGGAGCUGUCCUUAGUACGAGAGGACCGGGAUGGACGCACCGCUGGUGUACCAGUUGUUCUGCCAAGGGCAUAGCUGGGUAGCUAUGUGCGGAAGGGAUAAGUGCUGAAAGCAUCUAAGCAUGAAGCCCCCCUCAAGAUGAGAUUUCCCAUAGCGUAAGCUAGUAAGAUCCCUGAAAGAUGAUCAGGUUGAUAGGUUCGAGGUGGAAGCAUGGUGACAUGUGGAGCUGACGAAUACUAAUAGAUCGAGGACUUAACCAU
rnacentral:rRNA from 1 species